UACCCGCAGCACAAGUGGUGGUCAUUAUUAUUGGGCCUAAAGCGUCCGUAGCUGGCGUGUUAGAUGCCUGGGUAAAUCGAUGCGCUCAACGCAUCGACUUCCGGGUAGACCGGCACGCUCGAGACCGGGAGAGGUGUAGGGUACUCGGGGGGUAGGGGUAAAAUCCUGUAAUCCUCCGGGGACGACCAGUGGCGAAGGCGCUACACUAGAACGGCUCUGACAGUGAGGGACGAAGCCCUGGGGCGCAAACCGG
rnacentral:rRNA from 1 species